AUCAGCUCAUGUUGUUAUCACAAGUGUUUUGUGUGCUGACUAAAAGCUGCAGGGGGUUUGUUCCGGUAGAAGAGGUAGACGGCCAGCGGGUGGAAGCGCUGACCGCCGUCCAGAUGGGUGCCUCUGGUCAAAGCUGUUGAUUUAGUCAACCAUGAGUCAACAGUUCCCACAGAGGGGGAUGGCAGGAUGGAGAGCACAGGAAGCGCGAUGGUGAUGAAUGAUUACAUGGAGCUAGAGCUUGUGUCAUGGGGGCCAACAGGAAGCAGAUGCCUGAAUGGUUCAGAGGGACAAAAAUCAUCCAGAAAAGCUUGGCAUGGCAACCUCUGGAAACACGGGAGAGGAAACGCUUCCAUAAAACUGCGACUGGGUGAAAUAACGUGGCCUGUGCUCCCAUUAAACUUGCUGCACUCCCUUCACCUCAGCAGUGAGCUGAGUAGACGAGUGGUGUCUUGUCUCAACACCAUCACAGGGCUUACGCACACCCACACACACUUACACCUUCUUGUUUCAUCCCUUUCCCACCUGCAGGCAGACCCUCCUCAGUGGCAUAUCUCCACCCAACUCUGCAACAAGCUAGCAUGUGUAUUUAAAUCAAACGUACAGCUGGAAAACUUUGGACAUAUCUCCACCCCUCUAGCUCCUCCUCUACCUGCACCCUUCUCUCACUGCAGAUCAUCUGCAAACAUCACAGUCCAUGGAGCCUUCUGUCUGACAUCCUCUGUCAGCCUGUCCACCACCAAAGCCAACUAGAAGGUGCUUAGAGCUGAUCCUUGAUGAACUCCUCCGUCACUCCUGCACCGCACCUCACUGCGGUCUCACAGCUCUCAUGUUCUGCAACACUCUAGCAUUCUGCCACUCCAGACCUUCUCAUGCACCACAGCCUCUCUCUCAGCACUCUGUCGUAUGCUUUCUCUAAAUCUACAGAGGCACAAUGCAGCUCCCCCUGACCUUCUAUGUUCUUCUCUAUCAGCACCCUUAAAGCAAAUUUAGCAUCUGUAGAAUUCUUUCCGGGCAUGACACCAUACUGCUGCUCACAAAUACUUCUGACCCAAGCCUAGCUUCCACCACUCUUUUAAAGAGUGUCAAAAUAAGAUCCAUUAGCUUUAUUCCUCUGUAGCUCCCACAGUUUCAUGCGUCAUCUCUGCUGCCAUGUUGUUAAUCACAUGAAAAUGCCUGAUGGCAUCUCAUAGGGUUCCUGGGGGCACCAGGUUUGUGAGUGAGUUUCACAUGCAGGCUAAAUGUGAAAAUGGUCUUCUACCCUUAUUUCCCGCGUUCUGCUCUACGUCGCAUUGCUAAGUUUGCAUUCAUGUACUCGCACAUCUUGGCUCGUAAACGGGAAGGCUGUUGCUGAUUUAGCGUCCAGAAGACAGAAUAGCUCGUCUCAGCUAGUAGAAGCUAACAAUUAGCAUUAGCAACUCCACAACAGAGCAGAACUCCUCCAGGCGUGUGGUAUUUGUGGAGACAAAACAUCAACGUUGCAAAGCAAAUGGAGGCAGUGGUAGAGUCGCGUUGCUGUUAGCGAAUCAGAAGUGAGAUGUUUCACAUUCAAAACCUACCAUCUUCUGCUCAACUCUCCUCUGGCUCACUUGUACUUCCUGAAACAGGAGCACCAGAGCUUUUUUCCCCCACAGAAAUCCUCUCACAAGGCAUUCAUUUAUACUAGAGACCACUGCACAUGUCUUGAAAAGAACGAGUGAACAUAGUCUUUAAACGACUCAAUGAGGGAGUCAAACAAACUCUUGAAUUCACCACUCGCAGCUUUUCUUCCCUUUUUUCCCAUGAAGAGUUUGAGCCACACUAAUGAAAAAUGUCACUGCGCCCUUCCGAACGCAUGGCUUUAAUAAAAGUUGGUCAGGACGGAACAUGACGACCACUGAGAUUUACAGCUCAGCCUUCUGAGGUGGAGAAGAACUGAGGGAACUUUGGUGAUAAAACCGUUUGAAAAGUGGGUGCUGAGCAUUUAAAUAUGUGGCGUGCACUUUACAGCCAGGGUCGCCUCAGUCGUUUCACCACUUACUGAUGAAAACUUACAGCUGUUUGUAAUCGUGUCAGCUGACAUGUCACCACCAUUACAUGUUUACCGUGUUCUGCUUCCACCGAAACUGUCGUUUUCUCAUUGAGCUGCUUCUCCUCCUUCUGAGCUAAGACUGAAAACAUAAAUUUACCUAAAAACAUUUCUAAUAAUGUCAACACUGUGGCUCUCUAGUAACCCUUGUGCACCAUUUUUCUUACCUAAAAUGUUACAUACAGGAAUGCUGAAACACAAUUAAAUUAGAAGGAAAUUUUUCCUGUUUAACUAAUAUAAUAGAUUUAUGACUAAUAUGUUAGAAAAUCAAAAACCCCAGUGGUGGUUGAGCGAAUCAUGUGCAGAGCAAAAUAUGGUUCUUAAAACAAAAUAUUAUUAUGAUUUCAAUCAAACAAUCAAUCAAUCAAUCAAUCAAUCAAUCAAUCAAUCAAUCAAUCAAUCAAUCAACAAACUUUAUUUAUAUAGAGCUUUUCACACCUGUCAAGGUGUUCCAAAGCCCUGAACACAACAUGAAAUUUAAAUUUACAUUCUAAAACAACAAAAUACAAACAUUAAACCACAGGAUACAGAAACACUCGCACAAAGCACUAUGCUGAAAGACCAACAAGUUCAAUUCAGUUCAAGUUUAUUUAUAUAGCCCCAAAUCACUACAAGAGUCUGUAUUUGAUAUAGCGCCUUCUAGAAUCCUGGUACCCCCCCAAGGCGCUUUACAACACAAUCAGUCAUUCACCCAUUCACACACACAUUCACACACUGGUGGGGAUGAGCUACAAUGUAGCCACAGCUGCCCUGGGGCGCACUGACAGAGGCGAGGCUCCCGAGCACGGGCGCCACCGGUCAGUCCGACCACCACCAGCAGGCAACGUGGGUUAAGUGUCUUGCCCAAGGACACAACGACAGUGACAGACUGAGCGGGGCUUGAACCUGCAACCUUCCGAUUAUAGAGCGAGCACUUAACUCAUGUGCCACCGUCGCCCCGCUAAGUUCAGUUGAAUUCAAUUCAAGUUUAUUUAUAUAGCCCCAAAUCACGAAAAGAGUCGUCUCAAGGCACUUCACACAGUAAACAUUCCAAUACAGGUCAGUUCAUUAAGCCAAUCAGAAAAAAGUUUCCUAUAUAAGGAACCCAGCAAAUUGCAUUGCAUUGCAGAUACAGCAAUCCUCAUACUAAGCAAGUAUUUAGUGACAGUGGAGAGGAAAACUCCCUUCUAACAGGAAGAAACCUCCAGAGGAUCCUGGCUCAGUAUAAGCAGCCAUCCUCCACGACUCACUGGGGAUCGAGAAGACAGAGCAGACACACACACACACACACACACACACACACACACACACACACACACACACACACACACACACACACACACACACACACACACACACACACACACACACACACACACACACACACACACACACACACACACACACACACACACACACACACACACAAACAUCUACUCAACAACAUAUAUGCCAAGUAGUGUUUCUAUGGUUGCACUGUGAUUUCUUAGUAAAUAUUUUAUUUAGUAUGAGUUAAACUGUACUGUAGUUAUUCUAGUGAAUCUAUAAUUAUACGGGUAAACUGGUAGUAGCACAUUCAAUGUCAAAGAGAGUAAAAUGUUAUUAUCAGGAGAGGGAGAUUGUUUAAGUGGUUAGCAGCAGUGUUCAAGCUCCACAGCUCAGCAGAACAUCAUUGUAGCUUCUUCUGGGGAGAAAAAACACUUAGAGAAAAACUAAACAGCUGAAAUAGCAGGAAAUAAUACAGUUAAAGAGCAGAUUGUAAAAGAAAGUAGUCGAAGGGUGGAAAGUGGUCAGUGUAUCCUCCAGUAGUCUAAGCCUAUCAGCAUAACUACAGAGAUAACUCUGGAUAACCUAGUCUUUUAGAUGAAGGCAUGUUGGAGGCAGGGUAAGGGGGAGCCGUCUUUACUGACUGUACACUCCACCUCCCUCAACUCCCCCACUUGUCCAGAUCUGGGCUAACAUCAGAUUUUAACCAUAGGCUCUAUCAAAUAAAAAUGUUUUAAGCCUAGUCAUAAAAGUAGACAAAGUGUCUGCCUCGUGGACUAAAGCUGGGAGCUGGUUCCACAAGAAAGGAGCCUGAUAGCUAAAAGAUCUGCCUCCCAUCCUAUUUUUAGAUGUUCUGGGAACCACCAGUAAACCUGCAGUCUGAGAGCAAAGUGCUCGGUUAGGAACAUAUGGAACAAUCAGGUCACUGAUGUAUGAUGGAGCUUGAUUAUUAAGAGCUUUACGUGUGAGAAGAAGGAUCUUAAAAUCUAUUCUGAAUUUAACAGGCAGCCAAUGUAGGGAAGCUAAGACAGGAGAGAUAUGAUCUCUCUUUUAAGCGCCUCGUGAUUUUUAUCUUGAGAGGCGCUAUAGAAAUGAUAUUUUCUUCUUCUUCUUCUUUUUAAUUCUCAUCAGAACUCUAGCGGCAGCAUUUUGGACAAGCUGAAGACGUUUAACUGCAUUCUGUGGACUUCCUGAUGGUAAUGAAUUACAGUAAUCUAGUCUUGAUGUAAUAAAUGCAUGAACUAGUUUUUCUGCAUCACUCCUGGAAAGGAUGCUUCUAAUAUUAGCAAUAUUCCGAAGGUGGAAAAAGGAAAUCCUACAAACCUGUUUAACGUGGGAUUUGAAUGACAUGUACUGAUCAAAGAUAACACCAAGGUUCCUUACUUUGUUCUCGGAGACUAAUUUUAUGCUGUUCAGGUCAGGUGAUUGACUAAGCAGUUUCCUUUUCUGAAUUUCGGGUCCAAAGAUAAAUUCCUCUCACAAAAACGGAUUUUAACAGAUUUUUUCUUUUCAGUACCUUCCAGAAUGAGCCAUUUCAGGGCUCUGUCACUUAAAGAAAAAUAGCUGCAGCUGGCCACACCCACCAUCCCCUGGUCAAGAUGCUAUUGGCUGAUGAGUGCCGAUAUCCAAGAGGGGCUCAGAGCAGAGCCACUGUUCCUCCAGCAGUGGCUCUCUCUUGCACAUGAGAGACGGUUCUAUGCUAAUUUCCACAUUUGUGACAUCACAACUGGGGACCUUUUUAAACGGCUUGCUUCAGGCACAUAGGUCCGAAAAACCACUGACAGAAAACAGACGUUUUUCAUAUUUUGAGUGUUUUAGAGGCAGCAGAGACCCAUAUGAAUGCACUAAACGAUGAAAAUGGUGCAUUUUAGCACAUCUCCCCUUAAGCUUUUCAUUUUUAAAUGAUUUUUAGAACUUUUAGUAAAAAAAAAAUUAAAAAAAAUUAAAUAAUAGAAUCCAUCCGGCAGCCCUUUGCUCACAAUUCAUUGUUGUUUUUGUUGUUUUCUUUUGCAUGGAAGGACUUGUACAAAUUUUCUUGAGGUUGCAUUCUUGCCUUUUUCCUCAACAACAAAGGGAAAGCCCCCACACACCCACCCACCCACACACACACACACACACACGCACACACGCACACACGCACACACGCACACACACACCCACCCACCCACACACACACACACACACACACACGCACACACGCACACACGCACACACGCACACACACACACACACACACACACACACACACACACACACACACACACACACACACAGCUUUCCUCCCUCCCUUCCUCCUCCACUUUGCCCUUUUUAGGCUGUUCCUCUUUUUUUCCACGUGAACGAGGGGUAGUAUGACAGCUUUUCCUACUUCUGGUGGACUGGAGCCGGGAGAGAGAGCAAACUGUUACUCACUCCGUCUCCAACUUCGAGAGGAAGUUACCACCUCUUCCCUAGUCUCAGUACCCCCACACACACCCUCAAGCAGACACACACACACACACACACACAUGUUUUUCAGGACUUGACCACAGCAGCAACUUUUUUUAUUGUGUUUUGGAGGGAAAGAAGACUAAAGUUGGCAGUUUUCCUGACGCUCUCUGUGUGGACUGAGCAACUAGAGCUAAGUGUUUUCUCUCAUCACUUACCGGGUUGCCAAAUGAACCGUUUAACCCUGAGGACCAAAGAUCACAGGCCUUGAUCCAGCAGUGAAGGCCAAGACACAGAGGAACACGAUCAUUUUGGAUCCGUUCCCGUGACUUCUAGUUGCAAUAUGAGCUGGGAGUGAAGACCUGCUUUGAGGCUUCGUUCUGA